GGAGACAGUGAGCUGAGGCUGAGGCUGAGAAGGCUGGCAUAUGUGAUGUCUUCGGGGAUCGGAAGCUGUAAAUAGCACAGAGGGACACACAGAGGCCUGUGGUGGUGGAGGAGGGGCUUGAUGGGUCCUGAAUCCAAAGAUUGGAUCUUCUGAGAAGAUCAGAGAAAGACUGCCCUUGCCAUCCACACUGCAACAAAACUUCAGAACCUUGAACCUUGGGUUCAUAAUCUCACAACAAAGAAGGGUCCCUCCAUGUUCUUGGAGCUGUACACCCAUUGGAACUCUUAAGACAUAUGGCCCUAAAGCACCUCAGAAGAAGCUGAAGGAAAUCAGCCUCCAUAGCUUUCAAGCCCCUGGACUCCUGGAGCCAGAAGUUAAUUCACACUCUGAUCUCAGAGAAGUUCAAGACUUUCAGCAGAACUUUUCCUGGCCAGGGCAUUUUUGCCCCUGAGAUAUGUCAUUAAACAUGUAACCAGGAACUUCUGUUCUUACCCCUGUCCUUCCCUUCACCUUUUAUAGUUACUAAAUGCAAUGUUUUAU